UUAACCAUCCACCGCCGUUAGCCACAUAAAAUUCAUGCACUAAUACUUGUAUUGCUGUUUCUUAUAUCAGUGCCCGCACCAACUCAAAAUCAAGUGAAGGUUAUUGCUUCAUCAGAGCGGAAGAAGAUGGCCUCAGUCAAGUACGCUUUGACCCUCGUGUUCCUGUUAAUGACAGUUCAUUCCUGCUGUGUUUCGGGAUUUGCUAGAGGAAAAAGGGUCCUUUCCUCCAAACGACAACCUUGGAAUGGAACCAGUCCCAGAGUAGUUGCAAGCCUGAUCUUACUCCGCCUAUGGUGCAAGCUCUUUAAGGACAGGGGAAUACAGAUACCUUCAACCUGCUUUAAGUGAACUCUAUCCUGAGUGAUGUGAAGUUAAAAACGAUACAUACAACAUGUUUAUAUAAAGUGCAUGUCCAUGGAAUUUUAUCUUUUAACGGUUUCAUGAAUCUAGAUUUAUUUUUGUAAUCCUACCUUUUAAUAUAAAACAGAAAUUUUGAAGUUUGUAAAAUAUUUAUUAAACAUUCUUUAGAAUA